CACUCCUUCAGAUAUUUCUGUGACCCCCCUCUGCACCUGUUCCAGGCUAAAUCUUUCUUGAGCCUGGAUGGCUGGAAUGGUACAGGGUGAUCCAGAGGAGGUUUCACUUUUGCUUCAUACAAUGACAUUAGUAUUUGCUUUCAGCUCCAGCAGAUAUAAUUCACCUCGUGCAUCUGAGGAUCGUGUUUAGUACUGCUUUCACUGUUGCAUCAUGUUUGCAGCUCGGUUAUUGUGCUCUAUCAUUACUUAAAUACAUCCAUCUUUUUCUUAUUUGAUGAUCAUCAGCAAACAAGGUCCCAAAAUACAUUAUAAACAUCUGUUACUAAUAUCUGUCCCAGAACUACCUCUCCCAAAUAAUGUGACUUUGCACUUAAUGCUAUUGCAGUUUAUCCUAUUCCUAUUAUUCCACUCAAGGCCAUACAGGUCUCCUUUUAUCUGACACAGUGUGUGAUCCAGUGUGACCUUUCACGGCUACCUCGCCUGGGCAGGACUUGAAAUGAAGAGUCUUCUGGGAUGCUACUGGAAGAAAUAGAUAAGAUAGAUUGCCUCCUGGUGAAGUUUAAUUAGAGUGCAUGCUGGUGAAAAAGCCUUUUUUCUCUGAAGCCAUCAGGGUGAGCAUCCAUUUCUACUAAACUUUCAAAAGUAAAGUUAGAGAAUCUGCUGUGCUCUGAAAAGGAAGAGGUGCUUCAGUUCUUGUUUUCUGUAUACAAACCCCAUGCCUUUACCAACAAAACAACAUGCUAACACACGCUCCUUUCAAAGGAAAAUGUCCAAAAGGGUCGAUUUUGAUUUGACUGCUGAAGUAAAAUUAGAAAAACACUUCCCCAAACCAUAAUGUCAUGAGUUGUAUGGAAAGAAAUUGCUGGAUUUGUGU